CCUACACCACAGCUCACGGCAAUGCUGGAUCCUUAACCCACUUAGUGAGGCCAGGUAUCGAACCCGCAUCCCAGUGAAUACUAGUCAGUUUAGUUUCUGCUGAGCCACGUUAGGAACUCCCAUGUCGGCAAUUGUGCUGGCUGUCAGCUGGGGAGCCUCCUUCUCUAUGUGGUCUUGUAUGCUCCAGUAAGGGCAGACUGGGCUUCUUCAGGGUGUGGCCAUUACAGGAUCCCAAGAGGGUAAAAAUAAUCAAGACCUGUUGAGAUCAUGUCUCAGAAAUUACAUAAUAUUAAGUCGGUUGUAUUCUAAGGGCCAAAACAAGUCAUGCUGAUUCAAAGCGAGAAGAAAUAGAUUUCACUUCUUGAGGAAAGGAGCUAAUCAUGGCCAAGUAACCAAGUUUUGGCUAAAGGCAUAAACGCAAUUUCAUUAAAAGCACUAUGUGAGGCUUUCAGGAUAUGGUCUUAAAGAGAGGAGGCCUGCCACUCCUUCCUGUUUGUUCUUGCUGUCUUCUGGAAUGUGAACAUGAGGACUGGGUUCCAACAGCCACCUUGGAUCCCCCUGAGGGUAAAGACAGAAGGAACCUGGAUCCCUGAUGAGUUAGUAGAACUGCUAUACCAGCCCUGUAUACCAUCCUCAGGGGAAAAUCAAACCCAGCGCACUUAAGCCUCUGUGAAUUUGAAUUUUUCUCCACAGGUAGCCAAUUUUAAACCCAACUCUUAGGGCACCUCUUUAUCUUCAAUUUUUCUGUUUUAUUUCUGUUUUUUUGUUUUUGUUUUUAUUGUUUAUUUUUUUUUAAGGGCCACACCUGCAGCAUAUGGAGGUUCCCAGGCUAGGGGUUGAAUUGGAGCUAUAGUUGCCGGCCUACAACACAGCCACAGCAACACAGGAUCCAAGCUGCGUCUGCGACCUACAUCACAGCUCAUGGCAAUGCCAGAUCCUUAACCCACUGAGCAAGGCCAGGGAUCAAACCUCUGUCUUCAUGGAUGCUAGUCAGAUUCGUUAACUGCUGAGCCACGAAUGGAACUCCACCCCUCUUCUUUUUUAAACUGGAAGAAAAAUUAAAUCUUAUUUAAUUUGACUUGGCACUUGACAAUGAAAACACAAUGAUAAUUUUCAGAUGAUUUUUGAAUCUUGGUAAAAUGUGGUGUGCUAUUAACGUUAUAAUGAUAUUCAUUGAUUUCAACUUGUGGUUUGCUCUACUAGUGUGAAAAGUGGUUUUGAGUGAGUUCAUUGUCAUGUUAAGUCAAUUUCAAGUAAAUAUUUUACUUGUUUAAAAGUUAUUGAAAAUGUAUUAAUUGGGUCUAUAGCUCCAUGAUGAAAAUUCGAAGCAUUUAAAAUUCUCCACAAAGUCUCAUCCAAAGGAAAAAAAAGACGUCUAUCAUCCAUUCUUUAGUUCAGUAGUUAUUGCGUGUUAAAUAUAUACUCAGCAUUGUGCAAGGUGCACAGCCACAACACAAUCCCUGUCUUUAUGAAGCUCAUAUUCUAAUAAGAUGGACAAUGAAGCAGUCAACAAAGGAAUUUAAAAUAAACUUACAUGAAGUAAGUACAGCAUUUUAAAAAAUAAAUAAGAAGGAAAUGACCAGGGUGGUGUGAUUAAAAAAAAAAAUCAGAAUUUAUUGAGAAUGGGUCUUCAAGGACAGCCUCUCUGAGAAGGUGAUAGAUAGCUGGAAAUAUGUUCUUAGACCUAAUGGAAGGACUGCGCUGAGAUGGAGAAGGGUCCAAGAUGAAGCUGGGGGCAUAAGCAGGGACCAGAUCAUGUGGGGCUUUUUUGGCCAUGUUUAGAGGUUAGGUUUUGUUCUAAGAUCAGCGAGAAGCAAUGGAAAAAUAUUAGCAGGGGGAUGAUAUGAUGGGCUUUACAUUUUAAGUAAUAUAUUGCAAAUUGGCACAACAUUGUAAAUUGACUAUACUUUAAUAAAAAAUAAAAAUAAAGUUGUAUGUUACAUUUAAUAAUGGCUUCCAGGUUUCUGGCUUUAGUGAUAGAAUGGGCAGUUAAUGUCAUUACUGAGAUAGGGAAGACUUGGGAAGGGACCUGGUUUAUGGGGGACCUGGUUUAUGGGGGAAGAUCAAGAGUUUUGAUGAGACACCCAAAGGAAGUAAGUAGAUAGUCAGGACACAUGAAUCUUCCACAUAGAGGCAAAGUUUGGUAAGGAAAGAAAGUUGGGGAGUUGAUAGCAUACCAAAGACAGCAGGGUGAUUGAGAUCACCUAGAGAUGGCGUAUAAAUACAGAAGAGACUCCAGGACUGAGCUGCAGAACUCCAACAGUUAAUGGUAGAAUGGAGGCUGAGAGGCCAGAAGUAAAAUGAAGAAGGAGAAGUUCAUGAGAUUGGAAAAAAAAAAAACAAAACAAAACCAAAAACAAACAAAAACAACAAAACAGUAAGAACAAGAAAAUGUGGAAGAAGGAGAGGUUCCUGAGAUGGAAGGAGUGGCUAAAUCAGCAGAAUACAGCUUCACAUUUAAGUAAAUAGGAACAACAACAACCCAUUGAAUCUGGUGAUGUAGAGAUUGCUGGUGACUUCUCAAGAUCAGUUUAGGGGGAAUUGAGGGAAAUGAAGCCACUUUGGAGUGGGUUGGACAGUGUCUAGAACACAUGGAGAGCACACUUGUUGUUGCUAAGAGGGAGGGGGAGGGAUAAAUUAGGAAUUUGGGGUUAGAAGGUACAAACUGUUAUACAUAAAAUGGAUAAACAACAAGGUCUUACUGUAUAGCACAGAGAAGGCUAUUCAAUAUCCUAUGGUAACCCAUAAUGGAAAAGAAUAUGAAAAAGAAUAUCUGUAGAUAUCUAUCGAUAUCGGAAUCACUUUGCUGUAUAGCAGAAACACAACAUUGCGAAUGAACUAUAUGUCAAAAACUAAAACUUUUUAAAAGAGAGUGUCUAGGAGUUGUCACUGUGGCCCAGAAGAUGAAGGAUCCAGUGUUGCUGUGGCUGUAGUGAUGAUCGCAACUGUGGUUUGGAUUCGAUCCCUGGCCUGGGAACUUCCAUGUGCCAUGCGCAUGGCUAGAAAAAAAAAAAAAGAGUGUCUAGAACAGAAAGAGACAGAGAAAGUGUAUGCAGAAAGCUUUCUGAGAAGUUUUGCUACGAAAAAGCCAGGGAAAUGGGGAUCUCAAGGGGGAUGAGGGGCUUAUUAAAAAAAAGAAAAAAAAAGAGGAAAGAAAAGGGUUAUUAAGGGGUGCUAGGGUUGAUUUAGGUAAUCUGGUGGAAACCAAGUUGUUGAUACAGGUGGAAUCAAAAGAAGGCAGAUGAGAAGGAAUGGAGCCUGGAGGGUCAGCCCCCACGAGGAGUAGUGAUAAUCCCUCUGCUGUGGAUGCAGUGAUAGAGGGUGGUGGUGUUUUUCUCUCUUGUGGCUUCUGUUUUUGCAAUGAAAUAAGAAAACUGCUCAUUAGCUAAUGGCACUGAACCUGGGGAGUGUUGAGAAGUAUUUUAUCAGUUAGUGUUAGAUUAAAGAAGCAGAACUGCCAUGGGUGGUAUAAAAGAAGGGAUUUAUUAUAGGGAUUAGACCUUACACACUUGUGGGAGCUGGUGGAGAAGUCCAUGCAAUGCUUUUUUAUCCAGUAUGAAGUCUGAAACCAUUUUAGGUCACUGAGGAUGGUACUUAGAAGGAAAGUUAGAUACUUGGGCAUGACGUGGGAGAAGGCAAGGACAAAUUGGAAAGCAGAAAAACAAAUUGGAACCCACAUGGACAAAUUGGACGCUUCAUCUGUCUUUAGCUACCUCCAUCUUUGAUGAUGAGGGGUUCUCCUGCAGAAGAGGUUGGUGCCCGGCACCACAGAGUUGCAUAAGCACCUAUCCCAGGACUCAGAGAAGCAGAAGGGGAAAUCUGGUGAGGCUGGACCAGAUGUGGUUUGGGUGCUUAAUGAGCUGCAAGUCCAGGUGCACCAGCAAGAUGAGCCAUGAGUUCAGAGACACCACAUGUGGUUGGAAUUGUGCUUGAAUCUCCACACUCUUGUUUAGGCCUGUCUCCUACUUCAAUCACCACCCUCCCCGCCGCCCCCAAAUCUUGCACACAUUUCUCAUGGUCAACUGUCACCUGCUGCAGUGCAGGGAAGAACAUUCUAUGGAAUGCAUCUCAGCUUACGAGGUCAGCUCCAGCAGACCUGCCAUCAUAAUAAAGUGAGCUUAAUGAAGAAACACAACACUGUUGUUGUCAAUGCCCAUUUGGCUUUUGAGAGUGUCAAUUUAAAGUGAAAUCAGGGAGCUCCUGUUGUGGCUUAGUGGGUUACGAACCCAACUAGUAUCUAGGAGGAGGCAGGUUCUAUCCCUGACCUUGCUCAGUGGGUUAAGGAUCUGGUGUUGCCAUGAGCUGUGGUGUAGGUUGAAAAUAUGCCUUGGAUCCUGCAUUGCAGUGGCUGUGGUGAAGGCUGGCAGCUGCAGAUCCAAUUUGACCCCUAGCCUGGGAACUUCCAUAUGCCGAAGGUGUGACACUAAAAAAUAAACAAACAAACAAAUAAGGAUGAGGAUGGUACUUAGAAGGAAAGUUAGAUACUUGGGCAUGAAGUGGGAGAAAGCAAGGACAAAUUGGAAAGCAGAAAAACAAAUUGGAACCCACAUGGACAAAUCAAAAUCAAUAAGCUUGGUUGUGUUCCCUAGCAACAUUUGUGAGGAGAGUUAGGAUUAAUCUUAAAGCAGGAGCAUAGAUUCUGAACCAAGAGGUGAAUGACUGGUGGGGUUAAUGUAUUGUACGACUCAGUGUUGUUGAAGAAUUGCAGAUUAGGAAUCACAGUGAACAAGAAAGAUACAUGUCUAAGAAUAGAAUAUUUCAGCAUUGGAGUUGGAGACAUUUUUGGUAAUGAUGUGACUGUGGUCUUGGUGGUCAAGAAGGAGCUGCAGGGAGAAGCUCAAGGGAUUGAGAAGCCGGGCUUGUUUUAGAUAAUGAAGUCAUGAAAAGUGAGGAAGGUUACAUGUGUGUCAGGGAACAUUCAGUCAGGGGCUUAUGUGUGUUCCGUGAACUAGAAGAUAACAGAAAGCAUGGGGGAAGAGGAUAGGAU
rnacentral:lncRNA from 1 species